CCGGUGUUGUCAAUGUGGUAUGGCUGAUUCUCAUCCAAUCACCCAAGUUAAGCAAUAUUGGGCCUGGUCAGUACUUGGGAGGGUGACCACCUAGGAACACCAAGUGCUGUAGGCU